AGGUUAUACGCCUCCAGUUGGCAACAAGAGAAGCAUUAACACAAGAAAACUGCGUUGUUCAGUGCCAGUAGCUUAGAAGACGAUGGCAUCAACAAAGGCUGAGAAAACAGUGGGCACUCAACUGUUCGGGCAGGUAAAGAAGGAGCCUGCCAAGGUUGAUGGGCCGUCAAAGAGCUCUUCCAAGAGCUCUUCCAAGUCAUCAGGUUCGAAGAAGGCUUCGCCAAAGCCUCAAGAAACAAAGAAGAAGGGGAAAGGAGGAAAAGCAGCAGCGAAGAACUGAUACUUAUGCAAGAACACUAUGAAGAAUUAAGUUGAUGUUUUUGCUUUUUAUGUUGUGUAAACCACGUGUUGCGAUGGCGUGAUCAGUGGUUUUCUGUGUUUCAUCUUGUGAUAUGGCUUGUUAGAAAUAACAAUUGAACUCUACAACUUAUUAGUAUCCAACGAGCCAUUACUGUUC